AUGCGGAUCCCCAUUAUCGCCGCCACCCCGCCCGUGUCAGAGUUGGAGUCGCCGAAAUUGAACACCACCACCUCCUUGGGCUUCGUCACCACCUUCGCGGCCGCCUUCGUGGGCGCCGGUGCCGUCCCCUUGAUCUUCCUGUGCUCGCCCGCCCCGGCCCCGGCGGGCGCCGCGGCGCGUCGCGAACAGGACGGCCCCGGCCACCGCCCCCAGCACGCAGUAGUACUGCAGCCGCAGCAGGCUCAUGUUCUUCACCAGCCCGCCGCCGCCGCCGCUGCCGCCAUUGCCUCCCCCGUUCGGCCCGCUCGCCAUGGCUCGCCUUCCCUGGCUAGCUAG
rnacentral:rRNA from 1 species